UCUCCAGGCUUCAUGGACCCGGCCCGAGAAACAAGAGACCCUGGAUGGGCGCAUCGUAGUACGUAGCCAUGCCCGGGUGUCGUCCCUGACGCUUAAGGAAAUUCAGUACACAGAUGCCGGAGAAUAUGUAUGUACAGCCAGCAACACCAUCGGGCAGGACUCCCAAGCCAUGUACCUCGAAGUGCAGUAUGCCCCCAAGCUUCAGGGCCCAGUGGCUGUCUAUACCUGGGAGGGGAAUCAAGUGAACAUCUCGUGUGAGGUAUUUGCUUAUCCCAGUGCUGUCAUCUCCUGGUUCCGGGAUGGUCAGCUGCUUCCUAGCUCAAACUACAGCAACAUCAAGAUCUAUAACACUCCAUCAGCAAGCUACCU